ACUUUAAAUAUUGGGGAUGAAUAAAAUAAAAUUCUGAUUCCCCUGAUGGUUUAAAAUGCAUUCACAAUACCGCUCAGACAGAAGCGAUGAUUUAUAUUUUACGACUUUGAACGUAGCCUUUAUGUAUGCAGACAGAGUUUUGCUAAUCUGUGGAUCAAAGUAACGAGUAAAUGCUAUUUGAUACGCUCAGAAUUAAUACUGCAAGUAAGUACAAUAUUUCAGAUUUUACUUUACUUUGAUCAGUGCCAUGUCCAUAGUGAGCCACAGGGCGGAGACUUCAGGCUGGAGAAUCUUAGUCCGUCCCAUUGGGGGCGGGCCACGGAUGCACCCAGAAUGUCAACAACAUGCCGCCACCGCCAGAGUCGUUAGCAAGAAAAGAUACUGGAGACGGUAGGACUGACAGACAACAAAGACAUGAAGCAAAGCCGUCAUCCAGCAACAUCGUCUCCUUAAUAUCUCAGUUUGCAGACGAUCAUUUAACUGUUGUACGGAAUUUAAGCACUGGGUUAGCGUUGGCUGGCGUGAUUAUAAUUGCCAGAAGUAUAAAACUGAUGACCAAGUUUCAUGCAGCUUCUCAGAUUCCUCUGCGGUUUGUGGAGAGGAAUGUCACUCUCCAUGUGAAGGUCCAUUCAGUUACAGAGAAAGGUCUUGCAGUGGAGCAUGUCCCAAUCUAUUUGCCUGUCAUCUCUUCAUUGCUUCACAAAAAGCAUAAUAUGUCUCCAAGUUCAUUGCAGGUACAUCUUGCUGGAGUAGAGCUCACUCCAGAAGGAAGGCAAUGGCUACAAGAGAACUUGCUUCCUGCUAAAAUGGUUUGGAUUAAAUUAAUCAGCCAAGAGGAUGACAUACUUUAUUGCCUUGUGUCCCAAAACAAGGGGGUGCUGUGGACCUACUGUAUCAACGAGGAGCUCCUCAGACAGGGUUUGGCCCGCACUGCUCCCAUCAUAGGGCUUCUUCCUGACUCCCGGCUUUACUGGCGACUGAACAGGCGACUGCACAGGGCAGAGGUCAAAGCUGAAAGAAAGAGCCGGGGCCUGUGGAAGGAGGACAGCCUCUGGGAACGAGCAAAGAAAACUUUGAGGGAGAACAAAAUCUUCAGUCUGAUCUGGAGAGUUUUAACCAAGAUGUGAGGGGACUAAUCGAGUUAAGAUGAAGUAUGCAAAGACAUUUCGACUCUUAAACUAUCCAUGCUGUACAUUCAUCCAAAGAUUAAACUAAAUAUUUCCAUUGAUCACUCUUUUGACAUUUUAAAACAACUGACCAUGCACCAAGAAACACAAUUAUGCCAAGUCUGUCAAAAACAUAAUUUCAUUCACUAAAUUACUAUACUUACUAUAAUGUUCUAUUGGUGUUUUUUUUUUGGAUAUUCACUUAGCCCAUCAAGGGGGGGGGGGGUCUCUUUGCCCACAAUGACAUCAUCGUUGCUUGGGGCUGGACAAAAGAACAAACAAAAAUUACAAUAUUUGAUUAUCAUCUUGAACAGCCACAAUUUUUAUUAUAUCUUAUUAAAGCAAAUAAAAUGACUUUCAAUUUCAAUUUAAUUAAUUGUACAGUCCUACUGUUAUAUCAACAGGUGUGAAAUGCAAAGUCACUUUGAGACCUUCUGUUGGUGGGUUGUUUACUGAUACAAUGGAACCAUUAAGGUCCCAGAUAAAUUAGAUGACUUUUUUUUUUAAUUAAAGCAUCUUCAUUUAUGUACCUAUUUUUAUUACAUCUUAAUAUAUGCCUAAUUAAAUAAUGUGUUAUUAUAAACGAAGUUAUAUUUAUUAUCAGCACUGUCAAAUUUCCUCCUGAACCAGGGCCUAAGCCAUGUCAUUAUGUUAAUGUUUGCAGGGUUUAUCAGUACAGUAAACAUGUCAUUUUUUUGAGUAGAAAUUAAUUAAUAAAUUUUUUUUUGGUCUUCACAGACGAGAAGAGAAGCUAGUGGUCCAUGUUAGCGUGUUCCCGAUGAGCCCUUUUGGGGUGCAGGCUGAGCUAGUUCCCCAGCCAGUCCUCCCAAUGGGCAAAACAGAGAUUAGCACAGAGGGGAGGAGGGUCACCAGGGUUUUCUGGUGAUCCUGGUAUCCCAGCAGUGGUGGUUAUUUGAAAGGGGACCUUGCUGGAUGCACUGCUUGCCCACGCCAGUGAAGUUGUUGUUGGGACACUCUCUGGCUGGAAGUAAAUCUCUACCACUACUUUCUGAGUUGCUAUGGACUUACUAUGGGAGGACAUUUUUGGCAAGAUUGACAAACCUUUAUGAGGACAGCACAAAUCAAAAAAGAAAAGUAAAAAGAAG